GCAACCGAUCCGGAAGAUGACCAGCUGGUUGUCGUCCGUCGAGAAGAUAGAGGUGAAUGGUGAUGCCCGCGGCCGCGGGAGCGGAGGGGAAGCUGCUGUGCGUCGUCUGCCUCGUCCCGCGCCCGGAAGAUCCACCCGUGCAGGGAGAUUAUGUGGAACAACGUGUGCAGCACAGCAUCAAGCGCCUUGGUUACGUUCUCGAUGCUAAAUAGUUCACUUACGUAGCACUUCUGCAGAGGAAUGAUACGUAGGUAUGGAUAAAUCAUAAAUGGCUGACUAUCUAGAAACAUUUUUGUUGGUGGUGUAAUUUCCUAACACCACUUUCCAGUUUCAGACUUAAGCCCGUUCACCCAAAUCGCGUCUCCGAAAAGUCCAAUCUGAACCCCAGACCCAAAUUGUAACGGCGAGAUGUUUAAUUUCUCAUUGAUACGUACCACACGGCAGGUGCGGUCCACUAUAUUAAGUUGAUGAGUAUUUGAAUGAUAUAGAUUGCCCCCAUUAAGAAAAUGUAUCGUUGAUCAUGCUCA